CUCCUGUACAGGUAGGGUGUUAGUCCUGACAAGGAAACCUGGCGCUGAGGCCCCUGUGUUUCUGUCAGCCUUCCCCCCCUCAGAAGCGGAUCAGGGAAGUGGUGUGGUUCACACAGUGUUUCUGCAGCCUUGAGCUCCUGUUCAUGAGAGAAAAAUGCCUGCACCUGUGUGCAGAUGGUGAGGGGACAGCCUGACCCACUUCACCUGUGCUGUUUUCCCAGGCCUGGGGAGCCCAAGAGGAAGGUAGGCCCUGCCUCAUGUGAGGGUGGGUUUGAAGGGGAUAAAGUACAGCUGCCUGAACAUGGAGGUUCAAGUAUUUUGGUUUCCUGCUAGCUGAGAUCAAGGCUCGUUAGCUUGAAGCCAAGGAAAGGAACAAGAAGGAGCCUCCCGUGUUGCUGUGGGGAGGUAAAAGUUUAGAGCAAAAACUACCAAAGUCACCUAGGACUGAAGGAUGGCAGGUGUGGGUUCCAGCUCCUUCAGGCCCUGCUGAAGAUCUCAAUUCUGCUUUGUUCGGUUUUCAGUAUUUGCUUUAGCUAGUGGACUAGUGCAGAUGGGGUAUCUGGUGGCCAGAUUCUGCUAUCACUCAAGCUGGUGAACAGUCCCGUUACCAUUACUGCUUCCAGAAGAGCUUUUCUGAGUUCAGAGUUGCUGUUGUUCUGCAUGGUCUCGUUUCAUCUGGGAGACCAUCCCCACCAACACGCACAGAGCUGUUCCUCCCUUUCCUGUGUGCUUGUGCAAGUGGAAAUCAAGAGCACCAUGUCCAGGGAGCAGAGAUGUGCCUGCAAAAUUUGUUCAUGAAAUCUGAAGCCAUGGAGGAAUGCCGGGUUAAUUUUUCAUCUGGGUAUCAACUGAGAGUAAUGUAUACCCCAAAUUAAUGCAGACAAUGCCUAGUCUGGUCGGCAGGCUCUCUGUAUUUUUGAAUUCUUUUCUACUAAAACUCAAUAAAAACAUGGGGGUGGAAGGUGCUGCUGGGAAUUUGCUUUUUGUUCUGCUUAAGUGCUGUAUUUCUCAGCAGUCUUCAAGUUUCUCAGCAUGAAGAUAUUGUUACCUCAGAACUACUGUGGGUUUAACACAAUUCUCAAUUUGCAGGCAAAUGGAUGUAUUGUGUUGGGGCUUAUCCACAGAGGACUGUGAAACUACAAAUUACAAUCCAGCUGCAUUUUCUUAUCUGGAUUUUUUCCCCAUGUGCCCAUGAGUCCUCCCCUCUACACAAGUAGAAGGUGCAAAGAGAAACUUGAGUGAGAAAGCAGAGACACAAGCCCAAAGGGACCCUGAUGGCACAGAAGAUCCUGUCUGUGUCUGUGGGUGCUGUGUUUAGAUGGGAUGGUGUGGCUGGUGCCUCUCUGGGACUGGAUGGAGCUACCAUGUUUUACAUUAGCAGAGGAUGUGAUGUCUCUGGAUUUAUUUUUUUUCCUCUUUUUCUUUUGUGACUGCCUGGAGACUUUGUCUCUGUAACUGUCCCUAAAAAAAAAAAAUAAUCAAGGCAGCCAGAGGUAACAGUCAAUACAUCUGCUGCAAGUUUCUCCACCCAGGAGGAAGGGAAAGAAGAGGGCUACCCUUUCUCUUACUAAUUAUGGCAGUGAAAUAGGGGAUCCACCCACUCAACUUCCUCAGCUGUUCUCCAUCCUCACCCCCCUCCUUGAAGGGAGUAUGCCAUCAGCAGGUCCCCAGGGGAGAGGCAGCACUCAGCAGGAGUUUGAGACAAAGCUUUCCCACCUCUUGCAGGGCCCCAGCCAGGUCUCAGAGCCUCACCUACCUUGUCACAGCUACAUGGUGGGGGCCAGGUUGGGUACCAGAGCCCCGUGCCUGCCAGGGGACACCUGGCUCAGAUGCAGUGCUGGAGGGAAGGAAGCCUGUCUGGGGCUGCCGACAGCCAGGGCAAGCUCUCAGCCUCGCUCCUUCAAAGCGAAGGGCUGUGUUACCUGAUUCUGGUGACAUUUGGGACACCUGCUAACCAGUAACAGCAAAAACUCAAUGACUUCAUGGUAACACCAGGUUUAUUUGCUGCCUUUAAAUGGCUGUGGAUAUACAGGAUGCUGACAAAUGGGACGUGAACUCCUCAUUUAGUUGGCCGGGAAAUAAACGUAUCAGAGUGGCAGUACUUUUUUGGGCUCUCUUCACCAUCUGAGGGUUGCUGGCCAUUCUGUUUGCUGGCUCAGCUGAGGCAGCAACAAUGUCCAUGUGUUCUGUCAAAGCACUUUACUUGUGACAGGCAAAGUGCUGCCCUGAACUGGAAAACCAUUCAGAGCAAAUAAAUGCAUUAGUUCAAUGCAGAGUAUCUUAUAUUUGAUACACACCACUUCCUAAUCACUUUACUGAACAUCUGGAUUGCCUUGAAAUGAAACCAGUGCUGGCGUCAUUUUCAAUUUGGACAUGGGAUCCAUUUCUGGAGCCUUUUUCCAGGAGAGGGCCUCUUGGAUCUCAGUGUCAUUUAGGUUGGGUCCUACAGGUCUAAUCUAUAGUAAAUAAAAUUAAUGGUUGCUUCAGUAUUAAAGGAGAACAGAAAGUAGUAGGCAGGAGCCAGCUGAGCCCUUUGGUACUCGUAGUCUAAAUCGUAGAAUCGCAUUUAAAAAGUGCAGAUGUUACUGAAGAGAGGGGCGUUUUCAUGCCCCUUUGAAACUGGGUCUUAAGGAACUACCCAAUACAGGUGUUUCCUGGCAGAAUAAAUGCUUAAUAACUAAUUGUGAUUGUUAACGUGGCAUACAAGAGACCGUAAUUAAACUCACUGUGCUGGUAAAAGAUAUGAAAGAACACGCAGCACGUGAAGACACCGGGCUGCUCGGAGUGUGGUGAAAAGGCAGAGCGAAGGGGAUGACAUAACGAAGGAGAGAUGCACUCGUAUCGCUGCGGGUUGGGCUCGGCUGAGCAACAGCAAAAACUGUUUGCAACAUCUUUUUGUCAACAUCUGUUUGUCUUCGAGUUCACGAAAGUGGAACAAAUCUCAUUAAUUUUUUUCUCUUGCCCUGGAAUUUUGCACGAUUGUUUCUGUUAUUUUGGCAGCCAAAACGAUGCUGGAAUGUUUCACCUUUUUCCAAGUUCUUGAGCUGAGCUGUUCGGUUGAGGUUUGUCACAUAAAUCAUGAGGUUUUACUUCUGCUGCUAGCCAAAUCAUAAUCCUUAUAUCGUAAGCCUUUUGUUGUUUAUUGUUUCUUUUUCCUUAAAGCUCCAGCUUCUGGAAUCAUGAGAAUGCAUGAAAAUCUCUACUUCUGCUUUCUGUCAUGUGUUUGUUUUUCCUUGAGUUUCUAGCACCGAGAGCUGUGGAGAAACUUUUGGGUGUCAUCUGAAAUACGAAAAGACAGAAUUCGUUAAAUUUCUUUUUUUUUUUUUUAUACCAGUUAGAUAAUUUUUGGAAACUGUGACUCAUGAUUUUGAGCGCGUCGAUCUGGCACCGCUGCAGCUCCCACGUGACGGGGAGCGCUGGAAGGAGCCGCGCGGGGCUCGGCUCCGCGGACAAGUCGCAGCACAGCGAGCCGGGUGUGAGCCUGCGGUGCCCUAGUUGCUCAGAUUCCCUGCGUGGAUGCCCAGCGCGCAGUGCCUGCCCCUUGGAAGCUGUCUCGGGACGUGCCUCUGUACGAGGAACAGACGGCGUGAGGUUCAGAGCCCCUGUAGCUGACAGCCACGUGUUUGUCAACCAGAGGUAGCUUGAGAGUCUCGUGCUUCAAAGUGAUCUUGUUAGCAAGGGCACGGCUCCGAGCUGCUGCUGCCGUGGGGGCGUUGAGCACCUCCAGGCUGGGAUGUGUUUGGGGAGCUCCGAGAGAUGCUGAACGCAAGGCUGUGUCCCCCCCCUUGGGUGACAAGGGCUGGCUUCUCCUUGUAGCUCCCAUCCCCUUCAUCUCAGCGGCUCACUUGUGCAUCUUCUGAGCCUGUUGGAGGGGACAAGGGUGAGGACCUCUGUUUUUUCUGCUCAGCAGAGGCAGGCGUGCUCUGCAGUACCCCGGGGCCAUGUGUGGGAAGGCGGUGACACCCGUGUGACCUCUGGGGGACUUCCUGAAGCCUGGGUGACUGCACUUACCAUGGAAACUCUCCUGCGGGCUCCCCACCUCCAGCAGCUGGCCGCCACGGGGGCGGUGUGGCUCGGCCACUAACAGGAUGACCUGGAGGAACAGCCACCACCGAACGUGAGCCCUCAGAAGUGUUGCAGAGACAGGACCUGAGUGAAGGAAGCCCUUUAGGGCGUGAGUACACAUAGACGUUUGGGAGAGGUGCCUGCCACGAGGGAAGCCAGGGCAAACUAUGUUGUUUACCGCACCAGAGCAGCGGAGAGUCCACAUGGCUGAAAGUUGGCAGCCGGGCUGCAGGUGUGGUGAAAGAGCUGUGUUUUCUAAACACAUUAAAUACUUAUUGCUCUGGCCUUUUGUAGAUAAGGAUCAGCUUUGACUUUAAAAGAAAUUAUAGCAAAAGUGCUUGUAUAUGGGAGGAUGAAUGCCUGCUUCCAGGUUGGGCUUUGUAGAAUAGAACUUCAUAAACAAAAUAUUUGAUGCGAUUAACCAAGUCAGAGGGCUGGUGGAAAUGUGCCUCAGACUCUCACAGUAUCGGGGUGGAAGCUGUAAUGUGUCUGCCAGAGAAUUACCCUGAGCAGGAAUAAACAGCCAGAAGGUUCUUGGGUGUGAGGAUUCCCAUUUAAAUAAUUCCUUCUCUCUGAAAAACCCACAGCAGAAACAAUAACCUCCUGAAAGUCAGAAAUUUUGGUGAGAUUCAAAACACUGCCUUUGCUCUGCAGACGUUUGAUGUGCAAAGAUGGCAGAGAGCACUUGUGUACCACCGAGAGCCAAAGAGUUUGUAGCAAAACAUCUGGUCCUAGGCUGAGCAGAUAAAGAAAGCUUUCGGUAGCUCUGAUAAUGCCUCUGCCUCUAUGGCUGUGCUAACUUCACCGGGAAAAACGGUCCCUCUGCUGACCUCGCUCAGUUUUACGGAGUUUGGAGGUCGGAAUACAGCGAUAGCAGCCUGCUCAUCCCUAUGGUAAAUGUGACUUAAAAACAAACUUAAAAAUAAAACCAAAAAAGAAGAGGGCUGAUGAUAUAGGCCAAAAAAAAUAUAUAUAUAUAUUGAAUGGAAAGCGUUUAUGUCUGAAAUGGAGUGGCUAGCAAAGCAAGCUGACCUUCUUGGAGCCUGCCCCAAGAGAUGAUGGGAUCUCCUUGCGCCAUUCGUCCCCUCUUUGUUAGCUGAAUUCACUCUAU